GUAGGGAGCAAGCGUUAUCCGGAUUUACUGGGUGUAAAGGGCGUGUAGGCGGGACUGCAAGUCAGAUGUGAAAACUAUGGGCUCAACUCAUAGCCUGCAUUUGAAACUGUAGUUCUUGAGUGCUGGAGAGGCAAAUGGAACUCCUAGUGUAGCGGUGAAAUGCGUAGAUAUUAGGAUGAACACCAGUGGCGAAGGCGAUUUGCUGGACAGUAACUGACGCUGAGGCGCGAAAGUGUGGGGAGCAAACAGGAUUAGAUACCCUGGUAGUCCACACCGUAAACGAUGGAUACUAGGUGUGGGGGGUCUAACCCCCUCCGUGCCGCAGUUAACACAUUAAGUAUCCCACCUGGGGAGU
rnacentral:rRNA from 1 species